GUUAUCUGAACCUUCGGGGAACGAUAACGACGUCGAGCGGCGGACGGGUGAGUAAUGCCUAGGAAAUUGCCCUGAUGUGGGGGAUAACCAUUGGAAACGAUGGCUAAUACCGCAUGAUGCCUACGGGCCAAAGAGGGGGACCUUCGGGCCUCUCGCGUCAGGAUAUGCCUAGGUGGGAUUAGCUAGUUGGUGAGGUAAGGGCUCACCAAGGCAACGAUCCCUAGCUGGUCUGAGAGGAUGAUCAGCCACACUGGAACUGAGACACGGUCCAGACUCCUACGGGAGGCAGCAGUGGGGAAUAUUGCACAAUGGGCGCAAGCCUGAUGCAGCCAUGCCGCGUGUGUGAAGAAGGCCUUCGGGUUGUAAAGCACUUUCAGCCGUGAGGAAGGUGGUAGUGUUAAUAGCACUAUCAUUUGACGUUAGCGACAGAAGAAGCACCGGCUAACUCCGUGCCAGCAGCCGCGGUAAUACGGAGGGUGCGAGCGUUAAUCGGAAUUACUGGGCGUAAAGCGCAUGCAGGUGGUUUGUUAAGUCAGAUGUGAAAGCCCGGGGCUCAACCUCGGAAUAGCAUUUGAAACUGGCAGACUAGAGUACUGUAGAGGGGGGUAGAAUUUCAGGUGUAGCGGUGAAAUGCGUAGAGAUCUGAAGGAAUACCGGUGGCGAAGGCGGCCCCCUGGACAGAUACUGACACUCAGAUGCGAAAGCGUGGGGAGCAAACA
rnacentral:rRNA from 1 species